AACGAACGCUGGCGGCGUGCUUAACACAUGCAAGUCGAACGAUGAGAAAGAGCUUGCUCUUUCGAUUAGUGGCGGACGGGUGCGUAACGCGUAGGAAUCUACCUAUUAGUGGGGGACAACUUAGGGAAACUUAAGCUAAUACCGCAUACGCCCUACGGGGGAAAGAAGGGGAUCGCAAGACCUUUUGCUAAUAGAUGAGCCUGCGUAGGAUUAGCUAGUUGGUGGGGUAAAAGCUCACCAAGGCGACGAUCCUUAACUGGUUUGAGAGAAUGAUCAGUCACACUGGAACUGAGACACGGUCCAGACUCCUACGGGAGGCAGCAGUGGGGAAUAUUGGAAAAUGGGCGAAAGCCUGAUCCAGCAAUACCGCGCGUGUGAAGAAGGCCUUAGGGUUGUAAAGCACUUUCAAUUGGAAGGAAAACCUCGAAGCUAAUACCUUCGAGUUUGACAUUACCUUUAGAAGAAGCACCGGCUAACUCCGUGCCAGCCGCCGCCGUAA
rnacentral:rRNA from 1 species